GACGAACGCUGGCGGCGUGCUUAACACAUGCAAGUCGAACGAUGAACCCGGAGCUUGCUCCGGCGGAUUAGUGGCGAACGGGUGAGUAACACGUGAGUAACCUGCCCUUGACUCUGGGAUAACUGCGGGAAACUGUAGCUAAUACCGGAUACGACCCUCGGCGGCAUCGCCAGGGGGUGGAAAGAAUUUCGGUCAAGGAUGGACUCGCGGCCUAUCAGCUAGUUGGUGAGGUAACGGCGCACCAAGGCGACGACGGGUAGCCGGCCUGGGAGGGUGACCGGCCACGCUGGGACUGAGACACGGCCCAGACUCCUACGGGAGGCAGCAGUGGGGAAUAUUGCACAAUGGGCGCAAGCCUGAUGCAGCAACGCCGCGUGAGGGAUGACGGCCUUCGGGUUGUAAACCUCUUUUAGUAGGGAAGAAGCGAAAGUGACGGUACCUGCAGAAAAAGCACCGGCUAACUACGUGCCAGCCGCCGCCGUAA
rnacentral:rRNA from 1 species